rnacentral:lncRNA from 1 species
UAGUAAUGAUGAUGGUAGUUAUAGCAGUUUCGUGAUGGUGGUGGGGGUAGAAGUAGUCAUGAUGAUAGUAGUGAUAGCAGUUUAUUAGUGAUGGUGGUGGUAGUAGUAGUAGUAAUGAUCAUGGUAGUGAUAGCAGUUUAGUGAUGGUGGUGGUAGUAGUAGUAACGAUGAUUGUAGUGAUUGCAGUUUAGUGAUGGUGGUGUUAAUAGUACUAAUGAUGAUGGUAGUGAUUGCAGUUUAGUGAUGGUGGUGGUAGUAGUAGUAAUGAUCAUGGAGGUGAUAGCAGUUUAGUGAUGGUGGUGGUGGUAGUAGUAAUGAUGAUGGUAUUGUUAACAGUUUAGUGAUGGUGGUAGUAGUAGUAAUGAUGAUGGUAGUGAUAACAGUUUAGUGAUGGUGGUGGUGGUAGUAGUAAUGAUGAUGGUAUUGUUAACAGUUUAGUGAUGGUGGUAGUAGUAGUAAUGAUGAUGGUAGUGAUAACAGUUUAGUGAUGGUGGUGGUGGUAGUAGUAGUAAUGAUGAUGGUAGUUAUAGCAGUUUAGUGAUGGUGGUGGUAGUAGUAGUAAUGAUGAUGGUAGUGAUAGCAAUUUAGUGACGGAGGUGGUAGAAGUAGUAAUGAUGAUGGUAGUGAUAGUAGUUUAGUGAUGGUGGAGGUAGUAUUAGUAAUGAUGAUGGUAGUGAUAGUAGUUAUAGGAUGGUGGUGGAAGACGUAGGAA